rnacentral:tRNA from 1 species
UAUUAAGUGGCCGAAUUUAUAAGCACUAGACUUUUAAUCUAGAUAAUGAUUACACAAUUAAUCCUUAAUAAUAA